rnacentral:rRNA from 1 species
UGGGGAAUCUUGCACAAUGGGCGAAAGCCUGAUGCAGCGACGCCGCGUGGGUGAUGAAGGCCUUCGGGUCGUAAAGCCCUGUCAGAAGGAAAGAACGAUCUUAUGGUGAAUACCCAUGAGAUGUGACGGUACCUUCGAAGGAAGCACCGGCCAAUUCCGUGCCAGCAGCCGCGGUAAGACGGAAGGUGCAAGCGUUGCUCGGAAUCACUGGGCGUAAAGGGUGCGUAGGCGGCUUCUUAAGUCUGGUGUGAAAGCCCAGGGCUCAGCUCUGGAAGUGCACUAGAUACUGGGAAGCUUGAGUAUCGGAGGGGAGAGUGGAAUUCCUGGUGUAGCGGUGAAAUGCGUAGAUAUCAGGAGGAAUACCGGUGGCGAAAGCGACUCUCUGGACGAUUACUGACGCUGAGGCACGAAAGCGUGGGGAGCAAACAGGAUUAGAUACCCAUGUAGUCCCUGAGCGGGCUGGCAAGGCGCAU